GUAGGGAAUAUUGGGCAAUGGAGGCAACUCUGACCCAGCCAUGCCGCGUGCAGGAUGACGGCCCUCUGGGUUGUAAACUGCUUUUAUACGGGAAGAAAAAAUACUACGUGUAGUAUACUGACGGUACCGUAAGAAUAAGGAUCGGCUAACUCCGUGCCAGUAGCCGCGGUAAUACGGAGGAUCCAAGCGUUGUCCGGAUUUAUUGGGUUUAAAGGGUGCGUAGGCGGAUCUUUAAGUCAGUGGUGAAAGCCUGCAGCUUAACUGUAGAAUUGCCAUUGAAACUGAAGAUCUUGAAUGUGGUUAAAGUAGGCGGAAUGUAUCAUGUAGCGGUGAAAUGCUUAGAUAUGAUACAGAACACCGAUAGCGAAGGCAGCUUGCUGAACCAUUAUUGACGCUGAGGCACGAAAGCGUGGGGAGCGAACAGGAUUAGAAACCCUAGUAGUCC
rnacentral:rRNA from 1 species